AUUUAAAUAUUUUAUUUCAUAUUUGUGCAUUUUAUCAUUUUAAGAAUGAUUUUGGAGUCAUUUUCAUUUAUUUACUAUGGCAGUGUUUAACCUGCACACCGCCCCUUUUUGUACCUCUUGUGUUGCCGUAGUUUGUUUUUUUCCCCUCCCACCCUCACAAUGCUGCUGUGUAUUGCUGAGGGGGUCGGAUGUGCAGUGCAGGCAGAAGACAACAUAAUUGUGUUUAAUUGUCGUCUCCAGGUACGUUUUACUGUCUUUUUGUUUUGUUUGCCUUUUGUUUUACUCAACGCACAUUUUUUGUUGUCCACCAGGUGGCUCUGUUGUGCGUAGUUUUUGCACAUGCAUUUUUGUUUGUAGUUGAGUUUGGUUUCUAAUGAUAAAGAAAUGUUCAUUUUCUUGAAAUUGUAGAAAAAAAGUGUUUUCCUGCACAUUUUAAAUUGAUAAUUUCUAAAAGUGUAAUUGUGUAUAAAUUGUGAAAGUUAUCUAAUGUAAUUACAUAUAUUGUUAAGAAAACAAUUCAUUUGACCAGUCACAAUGGUGCUGUGUAUUGCUGAGGGGGUCGGAUGUGCAGUGCAGGCAGAAGACAACAUAAUUGUGUUUAAUUGUCUUCUCCAGGACUAUAUAAAGUGAAGGAAAGCA